UGUCCAGUUGUUGGUAGGUCUACUCUAGAACUUUCUCCAGUUGUCGGUAGGUCUACUCUAGAACUUUCUCCAGUUGUCGGUAGGUCUACUCUAGAACUUUCUCCAGUUGUCGGUAGGUCUACUCUAGAACUUUCUCCAGUUGUCGGUAGGUCUACUCUAGAACUUUCUCCAGGUGUUGGUAGGUCUACUCUAGAACUUUCUCCAGUUGUCGGUAGGUCUACUCUAGAACUUUCUCCAGGUGUUGGUAGGUCUACUCUAGAACUUUCUCCAGUUGUCGGUAGGUCUAGUCCAGAACUUUCUCCAGCUGUCGGUAGGUCUACUCUAGAGCUUUCUCCAGGUG